rnacentral:rRNA from 1 species
UUGAACGCUGGCGGCAUGCCUUACACAUGCAAGUCGAACGGUAACGGGCCUUCGGGUGCCGACGAGUGGCGAACGGGUGAGUAAUACAUCGGAACGUGCCCGAUCGUGGGGGAUAACGAGGCGAAAGCUUUGCUAAUACCGCAUACGAUCUACGGAUGAAAGCAGGGGACCGCAAGGCCUUGCGCGGACGGAGCGGCCGAUGGCAGAUUAGGUAGUUGGUGGGAUAAAAGCUUACCAAGCCGACGAUCUGUAGCUGGUCUGAGAGGAUGAUCAGCCACACUGGGACUGAGACACGGCCCAGACUCCUACGGGAGGCAGCAGUGGGGAAUUUUGGACAAUGGGCGCAAGCCUGAUCCAGCCAUGCCGCGUGCAGGAUGAAGGCCUUCGGGUUGUAAACUGCUUUUGUACGGAACGAAAAGCCUUCUUUUAAUACAGGAGGGUCAUGACGGUACCGUAAGAAUAAGCACCGGCUAACUACGUG